UUACAAAAAGCACUUUGAUUCUAAUUAUUUAAAAAUGAAGCCGAUUUUUAUAUUUUCUGUAAUAUUUUGCACAGCAAUGUCAAACCUGGAUUUAGUGGUCGUCCAUUUAAAGUUUCCGAGAAUUAACUCCAUGCGGUGGGGAUAAGGGAGAGGCGCUGGGAGGAUUUGCGCUGCUCACGCAAGCAUCACGAAACAGAGAGCGAAACAAGAAAUAUAGAGCACAGGAGAGAGACAAAAUAGUUCCGCGACUCUGGAUUUAAUGUCACGCUCAGUCCCAAAAUUGACAUUAAGUGAUCAAUCACUCAGUCGAAAAUAUAACCAGUCUUAUAAUUACCUAUUGCACUAUGCUUUUUUUAUGUUUAAAAACCCGCUGAAAGAGAGGUUUAUAUAAUACACGGUUCAUCCUCGUUGCUCAAGCAUCAUUACUGCCGGACGUCUCAACUUCAAUGUGUAUGCGCAAUUGAGAUUUUUUCUUUUACUAAGCCAGAUGAGAGGAAAGCUGCAGAAAAUCACCUCCCGAGUUUAGCCGGCUUUCCGAAAUUUGAGUACACAACCCGAUCGUACGUCGUAGACGGUCUCCCAUUCAGGUGCUAGGGACGCUCGAAAUGGCUUGACAUCUGGGCUCUUCUAGAGUCGAGAUAAUAUAUUUCCAUAAAAAUUUGUACGCGCCGAUAUUUGAGAUUUUUUUCCAAACUUGAAUAAAAAUGUUUUGAGUUGCACAAUAAUUUAUUCUGCAUCAUAAGAGGGCACCCAUGCGACGCCGACAAUGCGUGUACAAAUGAAUGUUAUUAAAGUAAAAAUGAAUAUCGUGGUAUCUAAUGGAACUUCAUUUCAAAAGAAAAUAAUUGCAAGUAAAGCAAUUGAUCGCGCGCUGAGCUCGCGUAUGAGCUUCUAUUACUUUUUUUUGAAGGUCGAAGGUUUAUGUAGUUUGAACACCCGCUGGUGGAAAAUUUACAACUUCCUAGGACCAACAUAAGCUGUUUUAGGAAACGUUGCAUUUUUAACUAAACAAUAUUAGUUUU